rnacentral:lncRNA from 1 species
AGUUGUCUGAUAUUUCUCCUUUUGUGGUUGUUUUAGGGAAAAACUUAAAAUGGAUAUGAAAAGUGAAGAAAGUGAUCAUAGGAGAAAACCAUUUCAGGUGUCUGAUGAUUUGUGAGCCUCAAGUGACUACUCUGUGGAAUCAUCUGUCCUUGCCUUUGAAUUCGCUUUCCCUAGGCCAUGGGUCAACAUUAGUAGUUUAUACAUCCAAAUUGAUGACAAGAGCACCUCAAAGGCAGCAGCCUCAAGGAGCAGCCAUGGCCCCAGACUUGUCGCACGGAUGCAGAAAACUUAAUGGAGGAGGCUGAGCAAAACAGAGCGUGACACUCCCAAUCAUCUGCAUGCUGGAAAUGAGGAAAUGGUUAUUGAAUGAUACAAGUGCUUUUCGAUCAUUUAGAAAGUUCUGUUUCCCAAGAUCGUUUUUUUUUUUUUUUUUUUUUUUUUUUUUUUUGAGACGGUGUCUUGCUCUGUCACCCAGGCUGGAGUGCAGUGGUGCAAUCUCGGCUCACCACAACCUCCGCCUCCUGUGUUCAACCGAUUCU